rnacentral:rRNA from 1 species
UAUGUAGGGGGCAAGCGUUGUCCGGAAUCAUUGGGCGUAAAGAGCGUGUAGGCGGCUCGGUAAGUCCGCUGUGAAAGUCCAGGGCUCAACCCUGGAAUGCCGGUGGAAACUGUCGAGCUAGAGUCCGGAAGAGGCGAGUGGAAUUCCUGGUGUAGCGGUGAAAUGCGCAGAUAUCAGGAGGAACACCAAUGGCGAAGGCAGCUCGCUGGGACGGUACUGACGCUGAGACGCGAAAGCGUGGGGAGCAAACAGG